AUGGAUUCCAGUGAGGAAUACAGUUAUGAUGAGGAUGAGCAUGGAAAUUCAGUUAGGAUGAAAUCUAGAUUUCCAAGAUUUGAUAGCAAGGCUGCAAUUCCAAUAUUUAGUUUGGGCAUGACAUUUAGGGGAAGAAGUCAGUUCAAGAGGGCACUGGUGAAGUAUGGCCUUGCUAUGAAGAGGCAUAUCUGCUUUGUAAAAGAUGAGGCUGGUAGGAUUAGGGAAAAAUGUUCUUGGCCUAAGUGUCCUUCGUUGAUUUAUGGUGCAAAGAGGAGCUCAAAUGAUUGGUUUCAAGUCAUAACACUUGUUGACAACCACAUAUGCCCACAGAGGAGAGACAACAGAUUGGUUACUGCAUCUAGAAUUGCAGACAAAUAUGAGAGAAUUAUGAAGGCAAAUCCAGGAUGGAAAGUGAAAUGUAAUAAGGCCACUGUUAGAUUAGAGAUGUUUGCAUAUGUGCAUGUUUCCAAGAUAAAGAAAGCAAUAGUCAGAAAGAGAGUUAGAUAA
rnacentral:rRNA from 1 species